GAAAUUACCACGACAGAUGACUGCAGGGAAGGCUAUACAGUAUGCCUCUCCCUCUCAGAUGCUUCCCUCCACCUAUUACAAAAGGAGCAGAACAUGUAGAUAACUUCCUUCUUCAGAGGUAUAAGAGGCCACAUCCUAUUCUGGGCUUCAUAAAGAGGAACCUUCAACAGCUCACAUACAGAGCUUCUGCCUCAAAGGACCACUCAUUGAAGCAGAAAUAAAAAAGGAAUAUAAAGACAGGGGAGUGAUCAGAAGACGAAUAGUGGGUCAGACUUUGUUUCAGGUUUGAUUGUAUAUUUACGUAUUUGUCUAAAUUGACAGGAUUGACUAUCAGAAACAGGGAAUAUAGGCCUAUAUGACAACUUAGCGAAGUAUUUUUAUUAUGUAAUUCUAUUGACACUAAAGGACUAGGGUGGGGAUUCAGUACAAGACUCGAGUGUAAAUUGCCUUUAAAUUACCUUUACUGUAAAUGAUCAACUCAACUACCUUGCUAUGCAAUUGGGAAAAUGCAAUGUUAAUAAAAUGUUAGUGUUAUUACAGCGGCAUAAGUGUUAACAGUAAUAUUAACAAAACUAAAUAUAAGACUAAGUAUCUACGGGAAUAUCUAAACACGGCCUUGUUGAAUCGACUACAGCCAAGGUACCAGUAGGUGGAAAAUAAUGUUAAUUUGUAUUUGAUGAAAAUAUCCCUUUAGUUGGUAUGAUGUGUAUGUUUGAAACUUAUUUGUAUUUGAGCUCAAGCAGUAGAAAAUGUUAAGUGCCGGUACUCAGCUCUGGUGAGCUCCUACACAAGUCAAGCACUGUGAAUUUUGACAGUGGAACUACAUUUUACAUUUUGGAUAUACAGUGCCUCUAGAAAGUCUACAACCCCCUUGGAUUUAUUCAAAUUUGAUUGCGUUACAAAGUGGGAUUAAAAUGGAUUUGAUUGCCAUUUUUUUGUCAAUGAGCCACACUAAAUAUUCUGUAAAGACAAAGUGGAAAAAUUCUAACAUUUUUUGAAGAUUCAUGAAAAUGUUAUAACUAAAAUAUAGUAGUUUCAUAAGAGGGGCUAGAUACAUAAAAUGCUUUUAUUUCUAAAUGGAAAAACAGAUACAGUGCAUUCAGAAAGUAUUCAGACCCCUUGACUUUUCCACAUUUUGUUACAUUACAUCCUUAUUCUAAAUUGAUAAAAAAAAAUUAUUUACUGUGUGUAGAUUGAUGAGGGAAAAAACCCAUUUAAUCCAUUUUAGAAUAAUACCCCAUAAUGACAAAGCAAAAACAGUUGUUUUUUUGUGUGCAAAUGUAUUAAAAAUAAAUAACGGAAAUAUCACAUUUACAUAUGUACUCAGACCGUUUACUCAGUACUUUGUUAAACUACCGCCUCAAGUCUUCUUGAGUAUGACGCUACAAGCUUGGCACACCUGUAUUUGGGGAGUUUCUCCCAUUCAUCUCUACAGAUCCUCUCAAGUUCCGUCGGGUGUUUUCUUGCGAACAUAUCCGAAAAGGAAGAUGGGUCUCUAAUGAAAUAUUCAACAUGGUGGAGGAAUGUUGGUGACCUGCAACACAACACAAGUCCCACAGGGAAACUACUGGGGUAGAUUGCUGAGAACAUCAACAGAUAUGUAUUUUUAGAUAGGCCUAAUCUCAUCUCCGUCUUUAGAGGCAUUAGGAAAAACCUUCAUCUGAAUCAUUUUGUUGCACUAAGAAACAAGGAAAUAGUGAAUGCGUUGAUCGAUAUCUUCAUCAAAUGUGGUAUGCUAUUCUAAGCUCUAGUAUAUUCUCUAUCAACAUUCAAGUAUCAAUGAAGCAUGGAUGGAUUUAUAAAAUGUCAAUAGCCAGUAAUGAAAUGAGAAUCCAUUCUCGGUAACAGGACAGUGCAAAAAAAUAUGACUAUUUACAAUUAUUUAGCAAAUUAAGAAGAAGAUUUAUGAAAUGGAGAUGUAUUGCACAUAUCAUUUGAUUUGAAAUAGAUCCUUUCCUCCUCUGAGUCUUGUGCUUUCAUACAGUAGGUCUGUCUGAGACAUCAUGGAGGGUAACAACAGAAAACAGAGAGAAAGAUUAGAAGAAAGAUCCCCAGAGACGUCUCCUAUGACGGUUCCGGUAACCCAGCCACGCUCCUCAAUGUUCUCCUGCUGUUUGGGGAUGGCAUCUGAUGAACCUGUAGGCGACCCAGCUAGUAAUGUAACACAAGGCUCUAUUAUGAAGCAGCCCACCAGACAGUCUUAUGUCAACAACCCAGACACCAGCGGACGCAUAAUACGAUUGGAGAAUACUGAGCUGCAAAUGUUUCCCACUGGUGCCAUGAGGUCGAACAACACCCCACAACCAGGGCAACCAGAGCCUUCUAAUAAGAUGAAGAAUAAAAGAGGGGACCAAGAUGGAAGGAAGGAGCUCAACCAGGGGUCCAGUCAGAAGCAGAACCAGGAUCAAAAGAUCAAGUUUCUGAUCAAUGUGCCCAUGAGGGUCCCACUACUUAACAACAACCGACUGGACCAAAUCCAGUCACAGGUUCAAAGGUUACUGAAGUUGUUGGAGGAUACAGGAUUUAAGGAGGAAGAUGAGGAGCACCUGAAAGAUGUGGCCAUCAUCAUUGGCCUCAAUGGCAAAGAUUCUCCUGAGCUCAGGGGACAGCUGACAAUGCUGAUGAACAUGGAGGAGAAUACGGUAUUGAAGUUUAAAAAGAUUUCAUUUACCUGGGGACCCAAUGGUAACAUUAAAUAUGUAGACAGUAUAAAUAAAAUAAAAGGUAUACCAUAUACGGAUAUCAGAGAAUAUCUAAAAGAUCAUGAAGAAACUAAACAGCUUGUUAGAGAGUUGAGAGGAGAGGAUCCUGACGCUCUGAUCUAUUUCAGUUUUAUUGACGCUGAUACUGUAAACUUUAACCAAGUUUACAGCUCUUAUUUAGAGAUAGUCAGAAAGCACUCUAACACUCACUCUGGCAUCCCCCCAACGGUGAUGUCAACAGGCUAUGAGUUUCCGGACAGGGCUUUUAAGAGGCCAAGCCAGGUUGACAGAGCAAUUCGAGUUGAGACAGCAAAACACUUUCCUCUAGGCACAUACUAUCCAGAGCCCAACUUCUGUGUUUUACUCCUAAAGGGGGAGGACACACUAACAGAGAGCUUUCUUGGAAAAGACAAAACAAUGGAGUCGCCAAAAAUUAUCAAAAAAGUUAAGGAGCGUGAACAAUUCACAGCAGUCUUUACCGCUGACAAUCCCAUAAUUACCUCUGUUCCAGCAAGGUGUCAAAUAAAUAAGGAUGGCCUGACAACUGCUCAAUCACAUUUUAAUCCUAGAGUUUGGGCAACAAGUGCAUACAUCCAUGGUGAGAUAAAGAGUGAACUAAAGGGCCAAGGAAGUUUUGGUAAAACAAGACGAUUAUUGAUGGAACUGUUGACUUGUCCAGAUGAGAAAUUUGAGGACAAGUGUAAAGAACUUCCUGUGGUAAAUGAUGAUGCAUUUCUGAGCCUGUGUAAGGCAGCUGGUGAGGUCCGAGAAUACAGAAAGAAAGUGAGGGGGUAUGCGAACCAACAGGAUAAGAGGAGUCCGGCAGAGAGCAGAGCAAAACAACCAGAGAUGUAACGCAUACCAAUUCAUGGCACUUCUAAAGCCUAGACUUAUGUUGACAUAAAAAUCUGUAGCCUUACUUUUGUUACGACUUUUAUUUUGCCGUAAUGUAUUGAGACACUGUUUGUAGCCUGGGGACUUUUAUUUUGAAAGCGAUAAUAUUCCCAGAGGCACCUUUGAGAGAGUGUGGAGAAAAAGACACAGAGUGGAUGUUGAUGACUGCGUGGCUGUAUGUCUUGGUCCAGAGUAAUUCAACUACACGUAACAGUUUUCCUUUGUAGCCCGUGUGUUAUUUUUACUGCCAAUCCACAAGUCCUCUGUUGGAGGUAGUGUUUAAUACCUAAAAGUAGAAAUAAGAGUUAUUCCACAAGUCCUCUGUUGGAGGUAGUGUUUAAUACCUACAAGUAGAAGUAAGAGUUAUUCCACAAGUCCUCUGUUGGAGGUAGUGUUUAAUACCUACAAGUAGAAGUAAGAGUUAUUCCACAAGUCCUCUGUUGGAGGUAGUGUUUAAUACCUACAAGUUAAAAUAAGAGUUAUACAAAUCUAUCCAAUCCACAAGUCCUCUGUUGGAGGUAGUGUUUAAUACCUACAAGUUAAAAUAAGAGUUAUACAAAUCUAUCCAAUCCACAAGUCCUCUGUUGGAGGUAAUGUUUAAUACCUACAAGUAGAAAUAAGAGUUAUACAAAUCUAUCCAAUCCAGAAUAAGAAUGUCAUUUCCAAACAAGACAUAAACUCAAAUGUUGCUAAAUGACCUGGAUGAAUCUCUAGUCGUACACAACUAUGGGUGUAACCAUUUGUGCCAGAAUACUCACCAGACAUCAGCUUUAAUGGUGUAGAGGUGAGGAGUGAAAUACAGUAUAAAACAAUUAGGAAUUGACGGGUAUAAUAAGUUAUUCAUGAAACAAAGGUUAAAUCACUUACAGUUACAAUAAGUGCCAUGGAAGUUUAAUGACCACAGUCAGGACAUCUGUUUAAUGUCCCAUCUGAAAGGCUGCACCUAAUGCAGGGCAAUGUCCCUGUCACUGCCCCUGGGCAUUGGGAACUCCUUAGACCAGAGGGAAGAGUGCCCCCUACUGGCCCUCCAACACCACUUCCAGCCUACUGUAUACAUAUUAGUUGUGUCCUAUAUAAUUGCUCCAUUCAACACAUAGCACUAAAGAGCGAUUGAAACACACUACAGUGUGAUUGAAAUGUACAUUUCCAAUUGAGUGGAUAUAUGCAGCCUUUACCGUGAACACAGUCUCCACAAACAUGGGAACAUGGCUGUUUUCCAUUUGAACAUGCAUGUAGGGUAGAUAGGGUUUGAUGGAGGAGUAGAGACACUUGUCUGACUGUGACUGCAUGACUGCUCUUCAGGCUGUGAUGAGAUUCAUAUGUACUUUAUCACUGAAUACUUUGUUGUGAACCUUUUCGUUUUAAUCAUAAGUAAUAUUAAUAAAGAGUUGUUGAUAUAAUACAGUGAUAUAUAGCAUGAAUGGAAAACACCUUUUAGUUUGAACUAAUCAUAAUGCCAGGCCAGAACUAACCAUUUUAUAAAACUAUAGAAAGAUAUCCUAUGUAAUGGUAACACUUGUGGUUAAGUACUGUAACAAUAUGUACCUACACUGUCAUUUUAUAACCAUCACAUGUAUGUUCUAACUAUCAUUAUAACCAUCACAUGUAUGUUCUAUCAUUAUUGUCACGCCCUGGUCUUAGUAUUUUGUGUUUUUCUUAUUUAUUUGGUCAGGCCAGGGUGUGACAUGGGUUUAUUUUGUGUUGUGUUUAUGUAUAGGGUUUUUUUCGUAGGUAUUGGGAUUGUGGCUGAGUAGGGGUGUCUAGCAUAGUCUAUGGCUGCCUGAGGCGGUUCUCAAUCAGAGUCAGGUGAUUCUCGUUGUCUCUGAUUGGGAACCAUAUUUAGGUAGCCUGGGUUUCACUGUGUGUUUUGUGGGUGAUUGUUCCUGUCUCAGUGUGUUGGUAUUCACCAGACAGGCUGUAUAGGUUUUCACAUUUCCGUUUGUUGUUUUUGUAUUGUUCGUUUUCAUCGUUAUUAAAGAUGUCUCGAUUUAACCACGCUGCAUUUUGGUCCGACUCUCCUUCGACGGAAGCCGUAACAAUUAUAACCAUCACAUGUAUGUUCUAACUAUCAUUAUAACCAUCACAUGUAGGUUCUAUCAUUAUAACCAUCACAUGUAUGUUCUAUCAUUAUAACCAUCACAUGUAUGUUCUAUCAUUAUAACCAUCACAUGUAUGUUCUAUCAUUAUAACCAUCACAUGUAUGUUCUAUCAUUAUAACCAUCACAUGCAUGUUCUAACUAUCAUUAUAACCAUCACAUGUAUGUUCUAUCAUUAUAACCAUCACAUGUAUGUUCUAACUAUCAUUAUAACCAUCACAUAUUAUGAUCAGUAAUCACAUAAUUAAGUUUUGACAUUUGAUUUGAUGAUUUCACUAUAUGUGUCUAUGUCAGUUUUUGCCUGCCUCAUAAUAAACAGAUGGUAAAUCCAAUGUAGUAGAAACACUUCAUUG
ensembl:lncRNA